rnacentral:rRNA from 1 species
UACGAAGGGGCUAGCGUUGCUCGGAAUCACUGGGCGUAAAGGGUGCGUAGGCGGGUUUUAAGUCAGAGGUGAAUCCUGGAGCUCAACUCCAGAACUGCCUUGAUACUGAAGUCUUGAGUAUGGGAGAGGUGAGUGGAACUGCGAGUGUAGAGGUGAAAUUCGUAGAUAUUCGCAAGAACACCAGUGGCGAAGGCGGCUCACUGGCCCAUUACUGACGCUGAGGCACGAAAGGCGAUGGGGAGCAAACAGGG